rnacentral:rRNA from 1 species
AGCGAACGCUGGCGGCAGGCCUAACACAUGCAAGUCGAACGGACCCUUCGGGGUUAGUGGCGGACGGGUGAGUAACACGUGGGAACGUGCCUUUAGGUUCGGAAUAGCUCCUGGAAACGGGUGGUAAUGCCGAGUGUGCCCUUCGGGGAAAGAUUUAUCGCCUUUAGAGCGGCCCGCGUCUGAUUAGCUAGUUGGUGAGG